UUUCAAGAGUUUGAGACCAGCCUGGACAACACAAUGAGACCCCUGUCUAGUUCUGGAGGCUGGGAAGUCCACGAUUGAGGAAUCAGCAUCUAGUGAGGGUCUCCUUGCUGUGUCAUCCCAUGGCAGAAGGGGGAAGGGCCCCAAAUUCUUUAAUAUGUGCACAUGGCUGCCCAAGGCUUUAGCUGUCGCUUGCCUCUCCAGCCUCCUAUCUCUCAACUCUUCCACCUCACACUCAGAACUGUUUUCACUUCCUCCAAAGACCCAGGUUCCUGUCACCUAGCCUUUGCACAUAUUGUUCCCUCUGCUGGAAAUAUCCUCCUGUUUUGACUCCUGCCAUUUUUAAAUCUAGUCAUUUAGGUCUCAGUUCUUUGAGACCUCCUCCAAGAAGCCCUCCUUGGUCCCUCCCAGGAAGGCUAGGUUCUCUGAGCUUCCCCAGGACCCAAUAUUGCCCCUUAUUGUCCUCAUGCCAUAUUAUCAUUCACUGCCUAGUUAACUUGCCUACCUUCCCCUACAUGUGUCUUGCUCAUCAUCUUAAACCCUAGCACAUAGUCUAUGAUCCCGUAUUCACUGACUGACUGUUCUUGAGAAUGGUAACUGGGAGCUACAACUGAGCAUUAACACAGCAGUUUGAGACAGAGUCCAUGAGCACGGACGAAGGUGGUUUCGUCUGUCUCAAAGCUGCCUUCCCCAAGGGCCUAAAUGUCUUCUCACUCUCCUCCUGCAGUGACUGCUCCUGCCAAGGACUAAUUUUCAGUUGAUUUUGCUCUUGAAGAACCCUGGCCUUUCUUUGUGUGCACAGGCAAGAUGGCCUCUCAUGGAUCUAACAGGCAUGAGACGAUGCCACUGUGGCAGUGAUUCAGCAGAUUGGAGCCCAGCUAAGGAACGCAGCACAUUUAGUAGGGCUCGGAUGAUUCUGCGACAGAUGGUCCUGAGACCACCACACUGAGAAACACUGUCCUGUGCUAAGCUGCUUCCCCAAGACCUGAGUCCCGUCGCCAUGGAGGUGGAGUGUGGACACGGGAAUAGGAAGGGCCAUGGGACGCCUCCACAGCACGGAUGAGAGCAGACAUCAGCAAAGCCCUCCCCAGAGGACAGACGUCUCCAAGGGACACGGCAGGACCUCACAGCAGACAGAGUAUGGACAUCCCCAGAGAUAGAUUGUACUUCCCAAAGGAGAGUCCCCAGAAACGAAAUGGAUGGACCCGGAGGCGGCAGGUGGGAGUGCUGUCCUACGGUGGCCCGUUGGACAGUUCUCUCUGGAGUACACUUGGUACUACACAAAAAGGCCUCUGGGUUGUAUAACUCUAGCAGAAGCCCAUUUUUGGAGAUGAUUCUUGCUCUCUUUCCUGGAGCCCUGGGCUUGGCAUACCGUGGAGCUGGGCAGCCACAAUGCACCAGUUCUCCUGGGAAGUGCCCCAGCCUGAGACUCGCUUUGCACCGUGCAGCAACCCAGGAAAAUUGACACACAUCAAAUGGCCCAAGCAAACAGGGCCUGUGAGUGGCUGCCAUGGAGUCAGUCCUCAUCCUGGAACCUCCAGACCUCAAUUCCCCCCAGCCCCCUGCCCCCCACCACAUCGUGGCCUGGCCACAGGUGCCUCAGCCUCUCCUCUGUUCAGUGCUCCAAGGGGAGCUCUGUUCGGUCACCCCAGCAACACGUCAGCCGGCAGCAGGGGGAUGGCGAGAGGGCCACGCUCAAGGGUCAAGCAAGGACAACAAGGAAAUCCAAGGCUGGAUUUCACGCGUGAAGGCAAAGCACGUGCUAAACUCAGCAUACCAGAAGCCUAGGAAAAAAUAAUUUCAUUUUUCUUAAAAGAAUUUGAUCAACAAUUAUGUAUGUAACUGAAAUAAUCUUCAUGGGAAAAAGGAACAAGUUGUUAGAGGCACCAUAACCUUUUUAGUGCUUAGUUAAAUGUCUUAAUCCAGUCCUGAACAGGGACACAUAAUCUGUGCUCAGUCCCUCAACAUUCUCAAGCCACUGGUUCAAGACAAAGUCCCAUCUGGCAGCGGAGCUGACGCGGACAAGGAUAAAGGACGUGCAGAAGGAUUGCACGGGAGGGCAAAGCCAACUGACCAAACCUAAGUGCGGAGCAUUCCUUCUGCAGACUGGACUUGGCUCAUACUUUAGUACCACAUUAGGGAUAAUCAAAGAGCCUCAUUCACUCAUUCAUUCAUUCUCUUAUUCAAUAGUGAACUUCUACAACGAUUGCAGCCCAGCAACCCCUGGCAUUCCUUCUGCUAACUGGUAUCUGAACCUUCAUUUCGUAAGGGAACUGGCCACCUCCUAGCUCAGCUCAGAUGCCAGUCUGCACAUUCCAUCCACCAGGUGACAGUGAUUGGUUCAGGGAAGAGCACAGGACCACGCCCGGCCAAUCAGAGCUAACAAGACCCAAUUCUGGGACAUCCACUCCAGCUGUUGGGAACCAUUCUCUCUCUCUUCCACUGCUGACCUAGCCUAAAGCUGCUCCUUCUACCAAGUGGAACCCGAAUAUGGCGCCAACCCAGAGGAAGCUAAGAGGACGAUCCAAAUGGGACCUUUCGACCCUUGAGUCCAGCUGUGCCUCUACCUCCGCGCUGUGAAGUUCCACGAGCAGCACCUUCUCUUCUUUGCUUAACAAAACACAAGCUGCUUGGAGCUGAAUUUCUGGCACUUGAUACCAAAAGAGCACUUCAAGAGGAGCCAUGGGGGCAGGGGUUUGGACUGAAUUGUGUCCCCACAAAAUUCAUAUGUUGAAGCUGAUGCCCUAACCCCCAGUACCUUCAGAAUGUGACUGUAUUUGGAUUAGGGCCUUUAAAGAGGUGAUUAAUAUUUAAAAAAUGAGGCCAUUAGUGUGGAACCUAAUCCAGUCUUCUUAGUGGCCUUAAGAGCAGAUUAGGACACAGACAACACACAGCCCAAGGGACAGCUACAUGAGUAAGAAGGCAGCCACCUGCAAGCCAAGGAGAGAGGCUGCGGGGACAAGAGUGACUUCAUUUUUAAAUGCUAAUCCACCUGACUAUCCCCAAGUCCAGGAAUACCUACAAAAUGUCUAGUUGAUGUGUUACUCUUUAUGUAGGAAAACUCUAUUCACUCUAAGCUUCACCUUUCCUCUAAAACAACCCUUGGUGGUCAUGCACUGUGACGCCAGCAGCCUUCCCCCAGCGACCUGCACAUUCCUCCCAGAGCACGUGCACUUUUUCACCCAGAUAUACGCCCUGGGCCUGGGAAGGGGUCCCGGUGCAGAGAUCUAUCUGUCUUGUGGCUACCCAGGACCACGCUUCUGUCCGUAAGUCCUAAUAUCAUCCUGUACUGACAAACCGGGUUGGUCUGCCUCCUUCUUUAGUUUCUCAACUCCUUCGACAUCUGGGGCUUGCUUUGCAUGUGCAGCCCUUUCACAGAACAGAGGCCUCAGAAGAAACCUGCCGGCACCUUGAUCUCAGACACCUUGAUCCAGCCUCCAGAACUGUGAGACCAUAAACAUCUGUUGUUGAAGCCACGCGCGGGUCUGUGGUAUUCUGUUGUGGCAGUCCAAGCAGUCUAACGUGGACAGAGGCAGGCAGGGGAUUACUAGGAGAAGAUGGGGUGACUGAAUGGGGUGGGGGGCGUGAAAGAGGGGAGCCCGGUGGAGGACGCCAUGGUUGUCAUCUGCUGGAGAGGUGAGGCUUGAGCUAAGGAGGAGGCAGAAAUGAUCACGAGAAGGCAUGGAUUUGAAAGGAGCUUUCUGCCAAAUUAACACAACCCGGUCACUAUGAUAAAGACGUGGGGUAGAGAAGGGAGAGUCUUGCUGGAGCCUUCUCCACACUGAGCGACCAUGGUGGACGUAGCUACCUCUGUUUGGCCUCACCCAGAGUGUUAGCUUCUGGGCCGGACUUGGAUCCAUUCAUUUCCGUGUCCCCCCACUGCCACAGCCUGGAGCGGUGGUUUGGGGGCGGGGACAACUGCCCUGGUGUUACCUGGUGCAGGUGAGAGGCAAGUGCCAGGAAAGGAAGCUGGUGUAUUCAAGUGCCCCAGCCUGCGAUGGCGCAGCCUGGGCCCCAAGACCAUCCUCUCUGUCUGUUCUCGGAGCCACCUCUAAAGGGAAGGGCAGAGCGGGUACAGCAGAGAGCAGGCUUUGUGCGAGUCACCAGGACUUGGUCAAUGGUUAUCAGCAACAGCAGGUCAGCGAACAAUAGGUCCUCAGGUGGAUCUUGUCAUCGGCAACCUCAGGUUGGCCUGUUCGUUCUAAACUUUUCAGACAGAACAAGCCAAAAGCAUGCUAGCAGCAGAACUAGCACUGAAUGCCCCUUGGGGUGCACCUGCAUGUCGUCGGGGCACCUGUGGUUUCCACGGCGACUGGGGAGCCCACCAGUGUUCCUGGAGGGGGCCGGCCAGGCUGGAGUCCUGCGGUGGUGGGUGGGGUGAGACUGACCUGCGGUUUGCUCAGAACUUUACCAAGGACUGUUCCUCACAUGGAAAACUCACAUCGAAGAUGGCCACACGGCACGUGCUGAGUCGCCGCCGCCACUGCACUGCUGUGCCAGCCUGCGUCCCGGCUCUGCCUCAGGCCACCGCAUCAGACCUCCUUUCAUGCCUCCUGUAUGGUCAGCCUAAGCGCUUAUACAUGGAUAUGCACAUGUAUUUUGAAAUAAAUUGCUUUCCUUUUA